AUACGAUUAAUACAAGUGAAUAUUUUUGGUUGAUGUAGUUAUAAAUUAUUUUGAGUUUUAAUAAUUAAUUAUUAGGUGAAAUUUUAUUUUAUUUAUUUGCUCUUAAUUUUGAACCUAUGAAAUUUAUAAAAUAGACUAGGAUUAGAUACCCUAUUAUUUUAAAUGUAAAUUUUGUUUUACCUGGGUAUUAUUAGUUAAGGUCUUUAAACCCAAAGAAUUUGGCGGUAUUUCAUUCCAUUUAGAGGAACCUAUCUCAUGAUUGAUAGUACACGAUUUACUUUACUUAAUUUAUUUGUUUGUAUAUCUCCGUUAUCAGAAAAUCUUUUUGGAGAAAAAAUUUUCUUGUUUUUUUAUUAAAAUUUAUUUCAGGUCAAGGUGCAGCUUAUAGUUAAGUGUAUGAUGGGUUACAAUAAUUUUUUUUUAUUAUGGAUUUAAUUUUGUAAUAUUUUAAUGAAGGUGGAUUUAAUAGUAAUUUAAAUUAUUUAAUUUAACUGAUAUUGGCU
rnacentral:rRNA from 1 species